rnacentral:rRNA from 1 species
AACGAACGCUGGCGGCAGGCCUAACACAUGCAAGUCGAGCGCUCACCUUCGGGUGGGAGCGGCGCACGGGUGAGUAACACGUGGGAACCUACCUUGAAGUACGGAAUAACUGAGGGAAACUUCAGCUAAUACCGUAUACGCCCUACGGGGGAAAGAUUUAUCGCUUCAAGACGGGCCCGCGUUGGAUUAGCUAGUUGGUGAGGUAAUGGCUCACCAAGGCAACGAUCCAUAGCUGAUUUGAGAGAAUGAUCAGCCACACUGGGACUGAGACACGGACCAGACUCCUACGGGAGGCAGCAGUGGGGAAUAUUGGACAGUGGGCGCAAGCCUGAUCCAGCCAUGCCGCGUGAGUGAUGAAGGCCUUCGGGUUGUAAAGCUCUUUCAGAUGGGACGAUGAUGACGGUACCAUCAGAAGAAGCCCCGGCUAACUUCGUGCCAGCCGCCGCGGUAAAAC